AACGAACGCUGGCGGCAGGCCUAACACAUGCAAGUCGAGCGAGGACUUCGGUCCUAGCGGCGGACGGGUGAGUAACGCGUGGGAACGUGCCCUUUGCUUCGGAAUAGCCCUGGGAAACUGGGAGUAAUACCGGAUGAGCCCUUUGGGGGAAAGAUUUAUCGGCGAAGGAUCGGCCCGCGUUGGAUUAGGUAGUUGGUGGGUAAUGGCCUACCAAGCCGACGAUCCAUAGCUGGUUUGAGAGGAUGAUCAGCCACACUGGGACUGAGACACGGCCCAGACUCCUACGGGAGGCAGCAGUGGGGAAUCUUAGACAAUGGGGGAAACCCUGAUCUAGCCAUGCCGCGUGAGCGAUGAAGGCCUUAGGGUUGUAAAGCUCUUUCAGCUGGGAAGAUAAUGACGGUACCAGCAGAAGAAGCCCCGGCUAACUCCGUG
rnacentral:rRNA from 1 species